UCUUCUAUGAUGAUUUUAUCAAAAUGACUUUCGUUCUUCUGAGUUUGAGAGAGCCCAAGGACAGCCAAAGA
rnacentral:snoRNA from 1 species